AGUCUCCAAAAGCUAAAAGGGGCUGCAAAUGUUCAUUCACCAAAGCAUUCUCCAGGCUCCUCACCUGACAGAGGAUGCUGUCCCUGCUUCUUAAGGGAGAAGAUUGAGACCUGGAGGAAUCACCUGUGAGCCCCAGAUCCCUGGCUGACUGGCAAAGGAGACAACAGUCUGGCUGCAGAGCUCUGGCCAGGCUCUGGGGUUGGAAUCAAGUGCUAUCUUGUUAUGCAACACAGCAGAGCAUCACAGCUCCUGAGAAAGAAGCGGCCUUUCCUCUCAUCCUUCGACAACCUCAAUACUAUCAACUACCAGGGGCUUCCAACAAACUUCAACCUCGCACUUCAGGCAGGAGUGGAUACCCUGCCCUCAGUCUGAACUGAUGCUUAAAAUCCCAGCCUGAAAGUUCUUAUUUGAUAAACUUCGUUAAAAAAUUGUUUUAAAACAAGAUUUUACAUUUUAUUUUGUUUACAAAGAAAUAAUCACUACCUGAGUUUGUCUACUGACUACCAAAUUCUCUCCUGCUUCAAUCACGGAAGCCUAACCUUUAACUGGAGAAAAUGAGCCGCUGCCAUGUUAUAAUGUGGAUGCCAGCAACUGGACAGAGAUGUGAGGAAGGCCCGUGUGUUGGCCACAUUGUCUGCAGAUUUGCUUCCAGAGUAGGCCUUGGUCUAUGCUGUGGGCUGGAUCUGCCUUGACGCUGGUGCUACAUCUAACAUAGCCAGAGUGAAUUCAGUUCCAGGUGCUAAAAUGGGUAACUUGAGGUCUCUAAGAAACCAUGCUGGACAAAUA